rnacentral:misc_RNA from 1 species
AAGGCCCUGCAUUGAUGGAAAUGAAGAACUGAAGAAAUCGGAAAUGCUUGAGGUUUCCUGAAAUUGGUUGCUGCUUACGGGUGAUGUCAUCUGACUGCAUAAUAUGAAUCCAAAGUACCAUUUAGUAUGAAAGCGUAAUGAUUUUCCAAUCAUCUUAGGUCCCAGAAGCUUUCUAGAUGGCGUUGAAAAGUCGAUAAGCAGGUUACUUCAAGCAAGCAAAG